rnacentral:lncRNA from 1 species
CUUUAAUUUGCACUUAAAACUACACUCCACUGACUGAACACUGUUCUACAAUUACUGUUUUCUCACCUACAACUUUUCCUUUUAGAAAGAAACUCUGCCCUCACCUAAGCUGUUCCUCUUUUUGUCCUUCACCCCUUUUUCUCUGCUUCGCUGCUGCGGCUGUGGUUGAAGGCAUAAACCCAGGCAGCAAGUAAUCAAACAGUUGGCAGGGAAGGUAGAGACAGUACAAAUCUAAUGGAGAAACUUACUGGGAACAAACAAAAUUGUACAAAACUAAGCAGUGGCUUUUCAUUUUUCAUGGGUACUGUCCACUGCAGACCACUCAACAUGGAUUUGAUGGAUUUGCACUGUGUAUUUUUUGCACAACUGGAAAAUGAAGAGGUUUCUGGACUGAAAAGACCCUUCUGCACUUGAAGAUUUUCCAAAAGCUCCCUCCUUCAAUGAAGCCUGAGCAAGGUGAUUCUCCUCUGGGUUUUCUUGAAAACAAAGAUUGUGUGUCAUCUUCCUUGGAAGAGGUUCUGGAAGCUGGAAGGAGAUUAGAAUGAUGACGCCUUUGUCAGCUCUUUCAAUUCUAUCUAGACCUUACUUUCCUGAAUUACAUAUUACAGCUCCAUAUUCACAGCUGGCUGCUCCAACAUGCUUCUCAUCCUUGCAUAAUAUAAACUGUGUGGGAUCCCAUAGUCUUAAAGAAUAAUGAGCUCUUCCAUCUGCUUUUCACAUGUUCAGUCAUUCUUCACAGGCAAGUCUCACUCUGGAGGUCUUUAAAUGGUUAAUCACAUUUCCAAUGCCAAUCCAGAAAUUCUAGACACUCAUGCUAGUGAUGGUCUACCAGAAGGACACUGGAAGAUUUGAGCAAUUUGGAUAUCUCCCUAAUGAUUCAUUUGGUGUCAGGAGGUUCUGAGAAUAACCGGCAAUGGAAUGAGAAAGUGGAAGAUGAACUGGCAAAUCUGGUGGCAUAAAAAUAGCUGUCUUGUACCACUUCUGGGAAGUCUGCAAGAAAAAAAUGCCCUGUGCUAUUCUAAGGCAUGUGUGCUUCAACUUAAAGAUUUCAAGAUGUUCCUCUCAAGACAUCAGUAAGGUCCCUCUGAGUCAGAUAUGAAGAAUAAAGAACUGGUGAAUAAGUCCAUUUUACAAGUUUUUUACAAAGUACUUGACAGUACUUGAACUCUUCACAUUAUGUUAAAUUUUUAUUCUUCUGAGACAUUUAUAUUUCUGAAGGCAAUAAACAAGAUUUCUAUCUGUGUCUUUGAAUUUGUGCAAUGGUGUAAGACCUUCCCUUUCUACUAAAACAUUUUUUGACCUGAAGCUACACACAACUGUUGUACUAAUGUAAGAGAAAGCAAACAAAUAGCAAGAACACACAUACAAAAGACAAAAGUAUUUCACUUUUACAGUGCUGUAGUUUUGCUGAGUUUGGUCUAUGACUUUGCCUGGGGUAAUUCUGACAAAAUCCUUAUUAUUUGGUUACAUCUGGUGAAGAAGAAAGGGUAUUGCAAGGGAGAAAAAGGAGCUAAGGGGCAUAAGGAUUCAGAAAUAUCAUUUCAACAAAAUCUUAAAUCUGUUUUGUUCCACAGUUUCUGGGAAGAAAAACCUACUGCUGUCUCAGGAAGAAUGUCUUAGACAGUCUGUAUAACCAAUUUGGUAGCAGAUGAGGG